AUGGCGGCGGCGCUGCUGGCGCGGCUGUGCUGGGGCGGCCCCGGCCUCCGGGGCCCAUUCGGGCUCCGCGCCACCCGCCCGCCCCUCGCCGCCGCCCCGCCGCCGCUGCUCCGCCGCCCCGCCGCGCCCCCGGGGCCGCGCUGCUUCUCGGCGGCCGAGCUGGUGCGCGCCGCGCCGGCCGCGCUGCAGCCCUACCUGCGGCUGAUGCGGCUGCACCAGCCCGCCGGGACAUGGCUGCUGUACCUGCCGUGUACCUGGAGCAUCGGGCUGGCGGCCGCGCCCGGCUGCCUGCCGGACUGGCGCAUGCUGUCCCUGUUCGGCGUGGGAGCCGUGCUCAUGCGAGGGGCCGGCUGCACCAUCAAUGACAUGUGGGACCGCGACUAUGACAGACAGGUUGCAAGGACAGCAAGCAGACCCCUGGCAGCUGGAGAUAUCUCCACUUUCCAGUCCUUGGUUUUUCUCGGGGGACAGCUCAGCCUGGCACUCUGUGUGCUUCUGUGUCUGAAUUACUACAGUAUCAUUCUGGGAGCAUCCUCUUUAUUGCUUGUGAUCACCUACCCUCUGAUGAAGAGAGUAACAUACUGGCCACAGCUAGUUUUGGGAUUUACAUUUAAUUGGGGAGCCCUUCUUGGCUGGUCUGCCAUCAAAGGGUCAUGUGAGUGGUCUGUGUGUUUGCCCUUGUACUUUGCUGGAGUCAUGUGGACACUGGUGUACGACACCAUUUAUGCUCAUCAGGAUAAGAGGGACGACAUCAUGAUUGGUGUGAAGUCAACUGCAUUGCAGUUCAAGGAAGACACAAAGCAGUGGCUCAGUGGCUUCAGCCUGGCCAUGCUCCUGAGUUUGUGCGUGGCAGGGAUGAAUUGCAACCAAACCUUCCCGUAUUACUCGGCUGUGGCUGCCGUAGGGGCUCACCUGGCACACCAGAUUUACACUUUGGACAUAGACAAGCCCGAAGAUUGUUGGAAAAAAUUUGCUUCAAAUCGUACUGUAGGAAUUCUGCUCUUCAUAGGGAUUGUGCUUGGAAAUCUGUGGAAAUGAAAAGACUUAAAUGUAGAAGAGCCUUCAGAGAACAGAUAGUUGAAAUCACUAUACUGAUAUUUUAAUCUAACUGAAGUCUUUUAUCAUUGCAGGAAUUUCCCUUUUGCCUGAGCCAUUUCAGGCUGUGGGAAGGAAGCAAGGUUUGUGGGUAACAUGUUCUUCCAUUGAAGCUGUGGAGACAUCUAGAAAAAAGGUGAAGUUUCUUGUGCAGAAGACGUUUUCCAUGUCUGAAACAAACCCUGAGACUGUUACUCUGUCUCUGGAAAGGACUGGUGGGACCAGAGCUUUGGAGAGAACCCUGACCUGCACACCAAUGGGAUUCAUGGACCCUCUGUGAAUGAACACACCUCUCACCACUGAAAACACCUUAGUUUGUGUAAAUAGCACAAGGCAGCAUGCUGGGGAAAGCAGCUUUGCUCAUUUGUGGUCAUGUUUGAAGUUGCAGGUUGGACUUGUUUUAAGUGGUACAGAGAACAGGCUCAAACAUUUACGUGUGUUAUGUGUAGUAGAUAUAAUUUGUGCCAUUUCUAGUAUGAUAUAUGUGAUAUUGAAUAUUUGUUGGAGUAUACACGUUUGUAUUAGGAGUCCCCCCACCCUCAAAGUCGAGACCUGGUGUAUAUUAGAACCCGAUUUACAAGUAAAAGGAUGUGGCUUGCCAGGAGCCCAGGCGCUGAUCAUCGCUAAACGACCUGAGAUGGAUAUCAUGGAAAUUCUCAGGCAGAUACAUGUGAAUGCAGCGUUCCGUAAACUUCAUCAAGGGAUUCAACAACUCCCAGACACUGAACUGUUCUUCUUCAGCACCAAAAAAGAAAAUCUUAUUAACCUAUGGACUCUGAAUGGAAGAAAAGACUGCUGGCCGAAAU